AGAGUUUGAUCAUGGCUCAGAUUGAACGCUGGCGGCAGGCCUAACACAUGCAAGUCGAACGGUAACAGGAAGCAGCUUGCUGCUUCGCUGACGAGUGGCGGACGGGUGAGUAAUGUCUGGGAAGCUGCCUGAUGGAGGGGGAUAACUACUGGAAACGGUAGCUAAUACCGCAUAAUGUCGCAAGACCAAAGAGGGGGACCUUCGGGCCUCUUGCCAUCGGAUGUGCCCAGAUGGGAUUAGCUUGUUGGUGGGGUAACGGCUCACCAAGGCGACGAUCCCUAGCUGGUCUGAGAGGAUGACCAGCCACACUGGAACUGAGACACGGUCCAGACUCCUACGGGAGGCAGCAGUGGGGAAUAUUGCACAAUGGGCGCAAGCCUGAUGCAGCCAUGCCGCGUGUAUGAAGAAGGCCUUCGGGUUGUAAAGUACUUUCAGCGGGGAGGAAGGGAGUAAAGUUAAUACCUUUGCUCAUUGACGUUACCCGCAGAAGAAGCACCGGCUAACUCCGUGCCAGCAGCCGCGGUAAUACGGAGGGUGCAAGCGUUAAUCGGAAUUACUGGGCGUAAAGCGCACGCAGGCGGUUUGUUAAGUCAGAUGUGAAAUCCCCGGGCUCAACCUGGGAACUGCAUCUGAUACUGGCAAGCUUGAGUCUCGUAGAGGGGGGUAGAAUUCCAGGUGUAGCGGUGAAAUGCGUAGAGAUCUGGAGGAAUACCGGUGGCGAAGGCGGCCCCCUGGACGAAGACUGACGCUCAGGUGCGAAAGCGUGGGGAGCAAACAGGAUUAGAUACCCUGGUAGUCCACGCCGUAAACGAUGUCGACUUGGAGGUUGUGCCCUUGAGGCGUGGCUUCCGGAGCUAACGCGUUAAGUCGACCGCCUGGGGAGUACGGCCGCAAGGUUAAAACUCAAAUGAAUUGACGGGGGCCCGCACAAGCGGUGGAGCAUGUGGUUUAAUUCGAUGCAACGCGAAGAACCUUACCUGGUCUUGACAUCCACGGAAGUUUUCAGAGAUGAGAAUGUGCCUUCGGGAACCGUGAGACAGGUGCUGCAUGGCUGUCGUCAGCUCGUGUUGUGAAAUGUUGGGUUAAGUCCCGCAACGAGCGCAACCCUUAUCCUUUGUUGCCAGCGGUCCGGCCGGGAACUCAAAGGAGACUGCCAGUGAUAAACUGGAGGAAGGUGGGGAUGACGUCAAGUCAUCAUGGCCCUUACGACCAGGGCUACACACGUGCUACAAUGGCGCAUACAAAGAGAAGCGACCUCGCGAGAGCAAGCGGACCUCAUAAAGUGCGUCGUAGUCCGGAUUGGAGUCUGCAACUCGACUCCAUGAAGUCGGAAUCGCUAGUAAUCGUGGAUCAGAAUGCCACGGUGAAUACGUUCCCGGGCCUUGUACACACCGCCCGUCACACCAUGGGAGUGGGUUGCAAAAGAAGUAGGUAGCCUAACCUUCGGGAGGGCGCUUACCACUUUGUGAUUCAUGACUGGGGUGAAGUCGGAACAAGGUA
rnacentral:rRNA from 1 species